rnacentral:pre_miRNA from 1 species
UGGGGUGACCAACUGUCCUGGUUUGCCAGGGGUUGAGGGGUUUCGGUGCUAAAACUGGGGCAAUCCCAGGCAAACCAGGAUAGUUGGUCACGUUACAGAUUU